rnacentral:rRNA from 1 species
GACGAACGCUGGCGGCGUGCCUAAUACAUGCAAGUAGAACGCUGAAGGAGGAGCUUGCUUCUCCGGAUGAGUUGCGAACGGGUGAGUAACGCGUAGGUAACCUGCCUGGUAGCGGGGGAUAACUAUUGGAAACGAUAGCUAAUACCGCAUAAGAGUAGAUGUUGCAUGACAUUUGCUUAAAAUGUGCAAUUGCAUCACUACCAGAUGGACCUGCGUUGUAUUAGCUAGUUGGUGAGGUAACGGCUCACCAAGGCGACGAUACAUAGCCGACCUGAGAGGGUGAUCGGCCACACUGGGACUGAGACACGGCCCAGACGCCUACGGGGGGCAGCAGUAGGGGAUCUUCGGCAAUGGACGGAAGUCUGACCGAGCAACGCCGCGUGAGUGAAGAAGGUUUUCGGAUCGUAAAGCUCUGUUGUAAGAGAAGAACGAGUGUGAGGGUGGAAAGUUCACACUGUGACGGUAGCUUACCAGAAAGGGACGGCUAACUACGUG